CUGGCAACAGCCAGGUAGGCUCAGCCCACUAUAAAAGAUCCACUAUGCUGGAGUAAUGGAGCAGGUCUUCCUCUAAAGAGCUGGCCCAUCUAAUCUCCCGCAGAAAGCCUCUCUGCAUUCCCAACCACGGUCUCCACCUCCAAGCCAAGCAGCCAUCCACCCACCUAGCCAAGUGAGAGCCACUCUUCUGUUUGACUUCAGAUGAAAAUAUAGAACCCUCAGCUCCUCCAGCUCCAUGACUACUUAGAUUCUGCUAUGCUUUCAGCCUUUAUGAUAAUGAAUCGAACCUCUGAACCUGUAAGCCAGCCCCAAUUAAAUGUCCUUAUAAGAA